rnacentral:rRNA from 1 species
GACAGAGGGUGCAAACGUUGUUCGGAAUCACUGGGCGUAAAGCGCGUGUAGGCGGCCGUACAGGUCAGCUGUGAAAACUCGAGGCUCAACCUCGAGACGUCGGUUGAAACCGUACGGCUAGAGUCCGGAAGAGGAGAGUGGAAUUCCCGGUGUAGCGGUGAAAUGCGCAGAUAUCGGGAAGAACACCCGUGGCGAAGGCGGCUCUCUGGGACGGUACUGACGCUGAGACGCGAAAGCGUGGGGAGCGAACAGG